rnacentral:rRNA from 1 species
GACGAACGCUGGCGGCGUGCUUAACACAUGCAAGUCGAGCGGUAAGGCCCUUUCGGGGGUACACGAGCGGCGAACGGGUGAGUAACACGUGGGUGACCUGCCUUUAGCUCUGGGAUAAGCCUGGGAAACUGGGUCUAAUACCGGAUAUGACCCUAUGGCGCAUGUUGUGGGGUGGAAAGCCUUGUGCGGCUAGGGAUGGGCCCGCGGCCUAUCAGCUUGUUGGUGGGGUGAUGGCCUACCAAGGCGACGACGGGUAGCCGGCCUGAGAGGGCGACCGGCCACACUGGGACUGAGACACGGCCCAGACUCCUACGGGAGGCAGCAGUGGGGAAUCUUGCGCAAUGGGCGAAAGCCUGACGCAGCGACGCCGCGUGAGGGAUGACGGCCUCGGUUGUAAC